UAAAUAUUCUUUUGAAGAAUUGCUUUUAAAUUCAAUUAACUGACACAGCAACCGUGUUUGUCUCUUAUAACUGCAGUUUUGGAAGAAUCAUAGUCUUGUAUGGACGUCUCGAACAACUGUUGAUAGCUCCUUUAAAUGCAAACAGAUUAAACAUACAGGUUCUAACAAGACUGGUGUCAUGCUCACAGAGAAGUUGAUUUCUAAUGGCACAAGCUAUUGGGACCGCCAAUUUUGGAUUUUCGAAAAGGACGGUUCACAAAGUGUUGAUUACAAAGACAAGACUCAUGUGAAAGAAUGGUUGGAAUAUCAAAACAAUAAAACGAACUGUUCCGUUGUUAGGAUUGAGGAGUGGCGUUAUAUAACUG